rnacentral:lncRNA from 1 species
UCACCUCCUCAGGCCGCCCUGCUAGUUGGCGUUGAGGACAGGCUGCGCACCUCCCCGCUCUGUGGGCAGGUGUGCUCAGCCUUGCCAGGUUGUUACACAGUUUCCAAGACAUUGCAACAUUGUUGCUAUCAAGUAACAGUGAGAUAAAGAGGACUGCCCUGCAAGCUACCACAGCCAGAGGCUGGGUUCCUUCUAAAUGGUGGGGGAGUGAGAAGCCUGUGGGCCAUGGAGCUCUGGGAAGCUUCCAGAACAUCAGGCUUGAGGUGGGUCUCCAUCAGUAUUGAGUGGGUGGGGAAGAGCCAUGGGGAAUGGCACAGACAAGGUACGGGGUGGUGUGGGAGGCACAGGUGUGUUUGAGGGCUGAGGGUCUGUUCACGUGGUAGAGACGUGGGGGAUGCGGCUGGAAAGUGAGGGGCCAGGAACUUAGUCUGGCAGGAGGCAGUUUUCGGUAAGCAGAGGGGAGGGAGACAGUGAAGGUUGUGGAAGGAUAGUGGAAACAAACAGAGCAGGCGCCUUCCACACUCCAGUCAGGAAGUGCAGACUGGGGGCUCCAGGGAUGCCCCCAUCCAACCCCUCAGCCUCAGAGGAGGACGGAGCUGCAAAGGAGGAAUACCUCUCCAGGUCCCACAGCCAGGGAAGUGCUGUGGUCCCCACACUCCCUUCAGCUGCCCGCCAGGGACCACUAGCCCUACGUGGGUUUUUCAAUUUAAAUUAAUUAAAAUGAAAUGAAAAUGUCUGCUUCUCAGCCGCCCUGGCCACAUUCAUGUGUUCCACUGCCACGUGUGCCAGUGACUACUGUCGGGAUGUGCCAGGUCUAGGACAUUCCCACCGCUGCGGAAAACUGCGCUGCUUCUCCUGUGGCUGCUUCUGCCACGUGGCCUUGAAGGAAACCCACGCUCCAGGGAGGCUGGGCAUUGCCUGCCCCUGGACCCCAGUCGGAGUCCCCCCUGGUGGCUGCCUGGGCCUCAGCCACGGCCCCUGAGCAGCUUCCAGCAUCCCGAAGGCUCUGCCCCAGGUCCGAGGCCAUUCCACGGUCGCUCCCUGCUUCCUCUCCUCCUCCGCUCCCCUUGCUUGUGUCCUUGGCAAUGCCCUGCCCCAGUUUCUGCCCCAGAGCCGCUGGCCAGAAAUGGCUGAGGUUCGUAGCUGGAGGAAGUGGGCCUGGGCUGACGAGGUGGCACCACUUUGUCCUGGAACAUCCCGCCCCUUGGCCUGGGUUCCGCUUGGGAAACAGGCGAGGUUCGAAAGGUGAGUUUUUAGAAUUGUCCAAUGGCAAGCUGUGACAGUUGUGUGUACCCUGGAGCUCAUCCCACCGUGGAAAACUCUGGGAAUGUCUGUCUCCACAGUCCUCGGCAAGCGGCCCCAAUAGUGGCAUUGUUUCAAGCUUUUGGAAUAUUGUUUUUGGGAAAUAAAGUGACUCCUGCUCAUUUAGCUGUGCCAACUCACUUGUUUGUCUUAUUCUUUUUGCUCAGCAGGUGGCAUUUUUGUUCAGUGAUUUUAUUUGUAUCCGCCCGUGUUCAUCAACUAUGACAUAUUAAUCAUGCAAAUUAGGAUAUGAUUAAUGAAGGAAAAAUUAAUUCCGCCACUGCAUCUGGGUCUGCUGUGACAGCUUAGUGAAUGCCCUCAUUCUCUGAUGCCAUCAGCAACUUCUCCAGGGCCGCUGCCGAUUGAUAUAUUAAUGUUUAGGGUAAAGGUUAGGGACCGAAGCCCAGAGAGACUUUCCUCUCCAGGGCUGGUGUUACAAGCACAUAUUUGCCUGACAGUGCACAUUUUUGAGACAGCGUGUUGCUAAACCCCGUCCUCCUUCCCACUGUGUGAACAGUUUGUAGGAGGAGGGAGUUCGCUCUGUCUUUCGGUGUCUUCUAGACUGAAGCCCACUGUGUCCAGGGCAAGCUCCCCGACCAACUCUGACUCUUGCUGUUUCCAAGGUCCCAGCUUCUUGUUUUCCAGAUGCUAUUUGCAGACCACGCAGUGACCCAUUCGUCCUUGGUAAGUGCUCCUUCUCCUCAGGACUCUGCUCUGGAAACAUGAGCUAGGGCUGCAAUAAGUUUAUCUUCAUGAUACAGAGUCCUGCAGAUAAUUUAAAUGAGUGCCCCACAUCAUUUUCUCCCAUUGCCCUCUGGUUAACCCUGAUUUCCACCCCGCACCCGGAGCUGAGCCGUGAUCUGCUUAUUCCUAUCUGCUUUCACUCAUGUGCUCCGGUAAGUCAGGUCCACAAACAGAAUGUUUUCUUGGAACUUGGAUAACCUUGCCCUGUGCACCAUGGGAACACCCCCUGGGAGAGAUUGUGCCAUUCCGGAGACUCCCUAGGUCACACUACCUCUGUCAGAGGACUUGGCUGGACCUGAGAGAGCGAGUGGGCAGUGGAGUACUGCUGGGUUAGGGUCUCCCUGACCUAGCUGGUCUCAGCAAGUGGCGUCCAUCGUGGGGACUCAAAUCCAGGUCGAAGGGUUGCCAGAACAAUGGUUGGAGUGGAAAACUAGCUGGAGGACACUCGAGUACUCUUAAAGCAAUCCCUGUGGCCAAAAUCAACAGCCGAUUUGGAUACCAUCAAGACACCUGAAACCUUAUCAUGAGCCAGAUGCAGAGGAAGAGAUUCCAGGAGGAUCCCGAGGACCCCCGGUUGCAGCCAUGUCAAGACUGACGCUGCGGAGGACCCCAACUGUCACGAGCAACACCCAUCGAACACAGCCACCCACCUGGGGACAGAACAGGAAGCUGUCACAGAUGGCGGAAGAAAACCUGAGGAAAGCGGGACAACCAGUCACAAUGAAUAAUUUAAUGAUAGCUCUGAUAGCGGUUAUCACCACCGCCUCUGCAGAUGUGGAUCCUGACUCCUGCAAGAAGUAGCUCACCGUGACAAAGCUGCCUUUGCUUUUAUCGAUUUGCAAAUCAGAGAAGGGGGACAUAUUGGGAGCAGGCCCCCCAAAAUCUGGCCAUAAACUGGCCCCAAAACUGGACUGGCCAUAAACUGGCCCCAAAACUGGACU